AUUGAACGCUGGCGGCAUGCUUUACACAUGCAAGUCGAACGGCAGCACGGGCUUCGGCCUGGUGGCGAGUGGCGAACGGGUGAGUAAUAUAUCGGAACGUACCCAGAAGUGGGGGAUAACGUAGCGAAAGUGACGCUAAUACCGCAUACGAUCUAUGGAUGAAAGCAGGGGACCGCAAGGCCUUGUGCUCCUGGAGCGGCCGAUAUCUGAUUAGCUAGUUGGUGAGGUAAAGGCUCACCAAGGCGACGAUCAGUAGCUGGUCUGAGAGGACGACCAGCCACACUGGAACUGAGACACGGUCCAGACUCCUACGGGAGGCAGCAGUGGGGAAUUUUGGACAAUGGGCGCAAGCCUGAUCCAGCAAUGCCGCGUGAGUGAAGAAGGCCUUCGGGUUGUAAAGCUCUUUUGUCAGGGAAGAAACGGUAGAGGCUAAUAUCCUUUGCUAAUGACGGUACCUGAAGAAUAAGCACCGGCUAACUACGUG
rnacentral:rRNA from 1 species